AACGUAGGAGACAAACGUUAUCCGGAGUUACUGGGCGUAAAGGGCGUGCAGGUGGUCUGUUAAGUCUGGCGUGAAAGCUCUCGGCUAAACCGGGAGAGGUCGUUGGAUACUGGCUGACUAGAGGACGGUAGAGGCGUGUGGAAUUCCGGGUGUAGUGGUGAAAUGCGUAGAGAUCCGGAGGAACACCAGUGGCGAAGGCGACACGCUGGGCCGUACCUGACGCUAAAGCGCGACAGCAUGGGGAGCAAACGGG
rnacentral:rRNA from 1 species